AGAAGCAGGGAGCUCUGUUUGCAUCAAGUCAGAUAAAAGGUUUUAACGGCAAUGAAGCACUGGACUUUUCAGAUUUAUCGGAUGUUUCUCUUGAGAUAGUCGUUUAAUUUCCCAGAGGAGCUGCCCUCAGAUUCCAUCCUGGAUACUUCAAAGUCUAUUUUGCCUCAUCAGUGAGGAGUUCACAUCACUCUGUGAUCAAGGACAGGAUCUUCCUUCUCACUGACCCAGGUAUCAUUGAGGAGGUGGAAAGUGUCCAAGAGCAGAGCUACACAGAAACUGUUCUUCAGACACCUCAGCAACAUAGGAGCUCAAGUUGAUCACGACAGGAUGCAUAAGGCCCAUGUAAGCUCAAAGCAGACAAAAUCCCAACAUGAAGAGACACCCUAUCCUCAAGACUUCAACCGAGGGAUAAAAUUUGAUGAGUGGCACCGAGGAUGUAAAAGGGGCUGACCGUCAAAGCCAACGACUCUGACCAGAAGGCUGGCAAUUGUGGCUUCCUUAUUUCCUCCUGCUUCUUGCUCAAUUUCGCCUCAUCUGUAGUCCACACCUGAUGGUUUCGUUUAAAACAGCCAUCCAGCCUUGACCUUGGCCCCUCCACAAAACCGGGCAUGAUUUAUUUUCAUCUGCAGCAGAUGCCACCCCCCGAUACACUGAAUAUUUUGCCUGUCACCCAACCAGAAUGUCAAUGUCUCAGUCUUUUCCUGUAGGCUUCAUUAAUGUAUUUGUGACACCGAGACUAAUGCCCGCAAUGAGAGAACUGUUUAAUAAAUAUUUUAGUGAAUG
rnacentral:lncRNA from 1 species